rnacentral:tRNA from 1 species
UUUAAAAUGGCAGAUUAUGCGUAGAUUUUAAGCGUCUAUUAUGAGAAACUUUCUUUUUUUUUCUAGGU